GACGAACGCUGGCGGCGUGCCUAACACAUGCAAGUCGAGCGGGGACUUGGGAGCUUGCUUCCAAGUUCUAGCGGCGGACGGGUGAGUAACGCGUGAGCAACCUGCCUCAAACAGGGGGAUAACGCAUCGAAAGAUGUGCUAAUACCGCGUAAGACCACAGUGCCACAUGGCACAGGGGUCAAAGGAGCAAUCCGGUUUGAGAUGGGCUCGCGUCUGAUUAGCUAGUUGGCAGGGCAACGGCCUACCAAGGCGACGAUCAGUAGCCGACCUGAGAGGGUGACCGGCCACAUUGGGACUGAGACACGGCCCAA
rnacentral:rRNA from 1 species